rnacentral:misc_RNA from 1 species
UCCCCUUCUUCAUCCUCUUUCCAAAACUUAACUUUGCGGAAAAAUAUUUCAGCAGUUGCUUUGGGCACUUCACCACGAUCUGCAUGUUGGUUCAAGAACAUUAAUUAUAUCUUCAACUAUAAAGCUCCCAACUUCUUCCUAGGUAUAUCCACCCUGCACAACUAAAAUCAAACAUUUUUAUUUGUUCCUUUGGUUCAAAAACUGGAGACCUCACACGAUUUCAUUACCACUGGAUUCUUUGGUAACUAAUAUCAAACAUUAAUUAUCACUUCUUCAUCAUCAUCUUCCACUCUAGUUCCAUCAGAAACAAUUGAAUAAUCUUAAUUAAUAGCUAAUUUUAUUAAUAUUUGAGAAUUAAAAGAGAAAAGCAGCUAGCGCAAAGAUGAAGAGGGUAAAGAGAGAC